rnacentral:rRNA from 1 species
CGUAGGGGGCAAGCGUUGUCCGGAUUUAUUGGGCGUAAAGAGCUCGUAGGCGGCUCUGUAAGUCAGGUGUGAAACCUCCAGGCUCAACCUGGAGACGCCACCUGAUACUGCUGUGGCUUGAGUCCGGUAGGGGAGCGUGGAAUUCCUGGUGUAGCGGUGAAAUGCGCAGAUAUCAGGAGGAACACCAGCGGCGAAGGCGGCGCUCUGGGCCGGAACUGACGCUGAGGAGCGAAAGCGUGGGUAGCAAACAGGAUUAGAUACCCUGGUAGUCCACGCCGUAAACGUUGGGCACUAGGUGUGGGUCCUUACCAACGGGAUCCGUGCCGUAGCUAACGCAUUAAGUGCCCCGCCUGGGGAGUACGGCCGCAAGGCUA